AGCAGCCGCGGUAAUUCCAGCUCCAAUAGCGUAUAUUAAAGUUGUUGCAGUUAAAAAGCUCGUAGUUGAAUUUCGGGACCAAUUUGUUGGUCGUGCCUCGGUACGUACUGGUAUUAUUGGUUUCUCCCUUCUGAAGAACCUUGAUGUCAUUAAUUUGGUGUCUUGGGGAAUCAGGACUGUUACUUUGAAAAAAUUAGAGUGUUUAAAGCAAGCAUACGCUUGAAUACAUUAGCAUGGAAUAAUGAAAUAGGACGUUUGAUUCUAUUUUGUUGGUUUCUAGGAUCGACGUAAUGAUUAAUAGGGAUAGUUGGGGGCAUUAGUAUUCAAUUGUCAGAGGUGAAAUUCUUGGAUUUAUUGAAGACUAACUACUGCGAAAGCAUUUGCCAAGGAUGUUUUCAUUAAUCAAGAACGAAAGUUAGGGGAUCGAAGACGAUCAGAUACCGUCGUAGUCUUAACCAUAAACUAUGCCGACUAGGGAUCGGAUGAUGUAUUUUUAAUGACUCAUUCGGCGCCUUACGGG
rnacentral:rRNA from 1 species